GGGCCUGGGGGUCGGGGCGAGGGCGGGCGAGGGACGGAGGCCAGGCCAGGGCGGCGCGGGAGGUAGGCCCGUGGAGCCCGCCGUGGCCGCCGCCGUGGCCGCCGGGGGGCCAUGAGGGAGUACAAGGUGGUGGUGCUGGGCAGCGGCGGGGUGGGCAAGUCGGCGCUGACGGUGCAGUUCGUGACGGGCACCUUCAUCGAGAAGUACGACCCCACCAUCGAGGACUUCUACCGCAAGGAGAUCGAGGUGGACUGCUCGCCCUCCGUGCUGGAGAUCCUGGACACGGCCGGCACCGAGCAGUUCGCCUCCAUGCGCGACCUCUACAUCAAGAACGGCCAGGGCUUCAUCCUGGUCUACAGCCUGGUCAACCAGCAGUCCUUCCAGGACAUCAAGCCGAUGAGGGACCAAAUAGUCCGCGUGAAGCGAUACGAAAAAGUUCCUCUCAUCCUGGUGGGGAAUAAAGUUGACCUGGAAUCGGAGAGGGAGGUUUUGUCAGCGGAAGGCCGAGCUCUGGCCCAGGAGUGGGGCUGCCCCUUCAUGGAGACCUCUGCCAAGAGCAAGACCAUGGUGGAUGAACUCUUUGCCGAGAUUGUGCGACAAAUGAACUAUGCAUCCCUGCCGGAAAAGCAAGAGCAGUGUUGUACAACUUGUGUUGUCCAGUGAGGGAGAAAGCAAACUCUCCAUCAUGGCCAUGCAGAGCAGCAGGAUGUCCGUGUGGCUUGGGAUGAGUCUCUCACAGAUCCCCAGGAAAAGCUGCAAAAAAAUUAAUCUGCAGGUCAAAAAUAAAACUCUUUUGGGGCGACGGGAAAACGGACCUUCGUACCGUCAAAAACGGUGAUGCCGUCAAAACAGCUUCCUUGUGUGCCCUGGGAAGACCUGGGUGUCAGCAUCACUCCAUUAAAUAAUUAGGAAAGAAAGACUAAGAAGUUCCAUGCGUUGGAAAUCAAAAGCACUUUUACUAAUUACAAAUGAUAAAACUCAGAGGAAAUUUGCACAGAUGCUGCAUUGGAGGACUCUUUUUAAGCCCAGGUUGCCGAACUGACCCUUCCUUAACCUGGUCUCGGUCUUCAGAGCACGUUUUUCCAGGCCUCCGUUGUGAAACAGGCAAGGGAGCAGCUGGGGAGAGGCCCGGGCCCUGCUACAAACACUUAGCAUGUUUACCAUUUGAUUUGGGAAUCUGUUCUUGAUCUCUUGGGGUGUUUUUUUUUUUUUUUUAAAUAGCUUUCUAAGUUCCUAUUAAUGGCUAAUAUGCAAAAAGUUCAUUUUAAACUAUUUUAUUUCUUUAAUUGAUUUCUAAAUCUUGUAUUUAUUAAACUUUAAACUCAGUAUUACCUACUCAAAUGCCUUUUUAAGAGAGAGAGAAAAAAAAAUUAAUGGAGAAUAAAAGUGAGCCUUAAACACAAAUGGUUACUUCUGUAUAUUACCUCACAUCCGUGCUUGAUUUGCAAAAGAGAGAAAGAGAGAGAGAGAGAGAAAGAAAGAGUGAAAACUAAAGAUUUCUUCUCCUCUCAAAUGUCAUUGAUUGGAACUUUGAAACAUUCUGUUUACAUGUGAUGGUGUCAUAGAAGGAUGUUUAAGAAUUGCCUGAUACGGGAGGAUACGACAUCCGUUUCCAGCAGCCUGUGGUGGCAUGGGGUUGGCCUGAUGGGAAAGCUUUUUCGGUGGGGACUGGAGACAUCCAGGAAUUUGUAUGUGUGUUCUCUGUUGUUAUAUGGUAUUUGGAUUUGGGGGUUGUUGGUUUUUUUUUUGGAAAGAAAAGGCUGUGUUGAAAAUCACUCGUUCAUCUGCUUUUAUUACAUUCAUCUUCCAAAUGCUGAAAAACCCUUUUCUUGGAAAAACGGACAGUGUGUCUUCUUAAGUUGUGUUCCAAAGCACACCUGGACUUGAGAUCCCCCCCGUAGGAUUUAAGGUGACUUUGGCAAAGGUCAGGGGAGGGAGGGAAUCGACUUUAUGGUUUUAACUAUUGUUUCUGUCCAAAAAUGUCGAAGCAAUAGAUGAGUUGGCCCGGCUUGGCGCUCCGUCAUUUCCUCUUGUCAGUUUCUGUUGGAGGCAGCCUCGGUUGGUUCAACAAGCCAAGAGAUAAAGCAACAGGAGCCUCGGUUGAACCGGCCUCCUUCCGUCACCAAUAUCUCCCCAAAACUGCAAUUUAACUCCUUGUGGUUUUUGAAGAGCAACCCGGAUUUUUGAGCAGAAGGAAGAGAGCAUUGGUGGAAAUGUUAGCACCACAACUGUGGUAGACCUUUUUCCUGGCACUGAUGUAAGAAGUGUCUGUCUCUUCUUCACUCCAGGCAGGUAAAUGAGCCUGCGCCAGGUUUAAAAGCCCACCUGAAGCCCUUUGGCCGUACAUCUAAUAAGCCCUGAUUUCCGUAGCAGCCCAAAACUUUUAAAAGUGUUGACCAGAUUCCACCCUUGGAUCUUUCUGGGUUGGCAGUUGGCACUAUAGCAUGCUGGGCCUUGAGCCUGCCCAGAUUUUUGAUCUCUCUCCAUUCAAAAUUUGCAGUGUAGUAGUAAAAGAUUAGGCUUGCACUUUAAUAAUAGAAAUCUCCAAGUGUAACACAAACAAACCCUCUUUUGCAGUGCUCUCUACAUUGGCCAAGUAUCCCACGUGCCAAGGGAAUGCAGAACUCUCUCGGUGACUGUACCUUAUUUCCUCAGCGGCAGAAACGUCGCGUUAAUUCCUAAAUUUCUCUGUUGGUUGACCCUUUUUUUAAUAAAAAUUCCAAUUUUUUUUCCCAGUUGGAUUUGGGGACGGCAAAGAGUUUGGCAUCUGAUCUGGGCUGCUGCCCUUCAGCGCAGUUUUUUUUUUGGGGGGGGGGCACUUAAAAGAGGCGGCCCUUCCUGGUCGUUAAGUGUAUUGCAAGGUUCAAAUCCAGGCAGCCUUUUCCACUAUCGGCCUCCCGGUCUUGGAUUCCAGAAGGAUUCUGGAGCUGCACAAGUUGCCCCCUAUUGUGGUUCAGCCGAGAAGGUGCUGGUACAUUUGAAUCCUGAAGCCUUUGGGCCAAGGUCCCAGUGGAUUAAUCAGAGGAAGAGGACCCCUCUCCCCCCUCCCGCUUCACAUGCCUCUUUCUCCACAUUGCACAACGGGGAGCCAGACGGUGCUCCGGCGGGCGGGCGUGUGUAUGGGGUAGCCAUCCAGGUGCCCGAACCCAGCCUUUUGUCGGGAGCAAUUCCAGGGCUACGCGUAUAGGGGGCAUCUCCUUCCCGGAUGUGGCACCCCAGCCCUCUUCUGCCUGAAUGUCUCUCGUGAUUUAAUUCAGCGUAUCAAAUGUACUGUACCUCUUUCUUUUUUUGGGGAGGAGGGAGGGAAGUAAGAAACAAAAAGUCUGGGAAUUUGGCAAGUUGCAAAACUAGCACGACGAUCAAAUGCUUUGUAAAAGUGAGCCGCCGUUUUUCCCCCCCUCUCUCUCUCCUCUCCCCUUCCAGUUUCAUUCAUUCAUUCAUUUUGUAAGACAGCCCUACAGUCCAGCUGUUUGUAACUUUUUUAAUAAAAUAGAUACCUGUAUUACCAAAA